CCUACGGGCGGCAGCAGUGGGGAAUAUUGGACAAUGGGGGCAACCCUGAUCCAGCCAUGCCGCGUGUGUGAAGAAGGCCCUCGGGUUGUAAAGCACUUUCAGUGAGGAAGAACGCCUGGUGGUUAAUACCCAUCAGGAAAGACAUCACUCACAGAAGAAGCACCGGCUAACUCCGUGCCAGCAGCCGCGGUAAUACGGAGGGUGCGAGCGUUAAUCGGAAUUACUGGGCGUAAAGCGCGCGUAGGUGGCUUGAUAAGCCGGUUGUGAAAGCCCCGGGCUCAACCUGGGAACGGCAUCCGGAACUGUCAAGCUAGAGUGCAGGAGAGGAAGGUAGAAUUCCCGGUGUAGCGGUGAAAUGCGUAGAGAUCGGGAGGAAUAACAGUGGCGAAGGCGGCCUUCUGGACUGACACUGACCCUGAGGUGCGAAAGCGUGGGUAGCAAACAGGAUUAGAUACCCUGGUAGUC
rnacentral:rRNA from 1 species